UGAAUUGCAGAAUUCAGUGAAUCAUCGAGUCUUUGAACGCAAAUGGCGCUCUUGGGUUCUCCCAGGAGCAUGUCUGUCUGAGUGUCU
rnacentral:rRNA from 1 species